rnacentral:rRNA from 1 species
UACGAGAGGUCCAAGCGUUGUCCGGAUUAACUGGGCGUAAAGGGUGCGUAGGAGGUCGUGUUAGUCUUACUUGAAAGCUCCCGGCUCAACCGGGAAAACGGGUGGGAAACGGCACGACUCGAGGUCGCGAGAGGUACACGGAACUUAUGGUGGAGGGGUGAAAUCCGUAGAUAUCAUAGGGAACACCAAAGGCGAAGGCAGUGUACUGGCGCGCUCCUGACUCUGAAGCACGAAAGCGUGGGGAUCAAAAAGG